rnacentral:rRNA from 1 species
GACGAACGCUGGCGGCGUGCUUAACACAUGCAAGUCGAACGGGAACCUUUAUUUCGGUAAAGGUGAGAGUGGCAAACGGGUGAGUAACACGUAGGCAACCUGCCGACAGGAUGGGGACAACAUUCCGAAAGGAAUGCUAAUACCGAAUGAAGCCACCGGAGGGCAUCCUCUGGUGAUGAAAGAUGGCCUCUGAAUAUGCUAUCGCCUGUCGAUGGGCCUGCGUCUGAUUAGCCAGUUGGCGGGGUAACGGCCCACCAAAGCGACGAUCAGUAGCCGGUCUGAGAGGAUGAACGGCCACAUUGGGACUGAGACACGGCCCAGACUCCUACGGGAGCAGCAGUGGGGAAUCUUCCACAAUGGGCGAAAGCCUGAUGGAGCAACGCCGCGUGAGUGAAGAAGGUCUUCGGAUCGUAAAGCUCUGUUGCACGGGACGAAAACCGA